AUUGAACGCUGGCGGCAGGCCUAACACAUGCAAGUCGAGCGGAUGAAAGGAGCUUGCUCCUGGAUUCAGCGGCGGACGGGUGAGUAAUGCCUAGGAAUCUGCCUGGUAGUGGGGGAUAACGUCCGGAAACGGGCGCUAAUACCGCAUACGUCCUGAGGGAGAAAGUGGGGGAUCUUCGGACCUCACGCUAUCAGAUGAGCCUAGGUCGGAUUAGCUAGUUGGUGGGGUAAAGGCCUACCAAGGCGACGAUCCGUAACUGGUCUGAGAGGAUGAUCAGUCACACUGGACCUGAGACACGGUCCAGACUCCUACGGGAGGCAGCAGUGGGGAAUAUUGGACAAUGGGCGAAAGCCUGAUCCAGCCAUGCCGCGUGUGUGAAGAAGGUCUUCGGAUUGUAAAGCACUUUAAGUUGGGAGGAAGGGCAGUAAGUUAAUACCUUGCUGUUUUGACGUUACCAACAGAAUAAGCACCGGCUAACUUCGUG
rnacentral:rRNA from 1 species